rnacentral:rRNA from 1 species
UAGCCGGUGCCUUAGUCGAGGCCGAAAGGCGUAGACGAUGGACAGCAGGUCAACAUUCCUGCGCUGCCAGCGGACCGAUGGAGGGACGGCAUCCGAAAAGGGAUCGGACGACUAGAAAUGUCCGUAGGGUGAUCCAAGCCGGGGGAAAGGUAAAUCCGCCCCAUAACGCAAGGGUCAAACUCGAGAGCAUCCAAGUUCUCGAAGUCUCUGGAAGGAUGUCCAAGAAAAGCUCCUAGGGUUGAAAACUGGUAACCGUACUAAAACUGACGCAGGUAGGCGAGACGAGUAGUCUAAGGCGCUCGGGAAAAUGGUGGUUAAGGAACUCUGCAAAUUCACCCCGUAAGUUCGCGAUAAGGGGUACCCUUGAGGGUGCAAGCCUUCGAGGGUCACAGAAAAUCGGCUCUAGCAACUGUUUAUCAAAAACACAGGACUCUGCUAACUCGCAAGAGGAUGUAUAGAGUCUGACGCCUGCCCGGUGUUGGUAGGUUAAGGAAGAAGGUUAGCCUCACGGCGAAGCUUGCGACCGAAGCCCCAAUAAACGGCGGCCGUAACUAUGACGGUCCUAAGGUAGCGAAGUUCCUUGUCGGGUAAGUUCCGACCUGCAUGAAUGGCGUAAUGACUGGAGCACUGUCUCAACCACCAACCCGGUGAAAUUGUAGUCGUGGUGAAGAUGCCACGUUCCCGCGGUUAGAAAAGACCCCAUGAACCUUGACUGUAGGCUGAUAUUGGGCUGAGAUUUGUUUUGUGUAGGAUAGGUGGGAGGCUUUGAACCGGUGGCGCCAGCCAUUGGGGAGCCGACGUUGAAAUACCACCCUGAACAUGUUUUAGUUCUAACCUCGAUCCAGUGAAACCUGGCGAGGGACAGUGUCAGUUGGGCAGUUUGACUGGGGCGGUCUCCUCCAAAAAGGUAACGGAGGAGUACAAAGGCACCCUCAGCCUGGUCGGCAAUCAGGCACUGAGCGCAAUGGUAGAAGGGUGCUCAACUGCGAGACCUAUAAGUCGAGCAGAUGUGAAAGCAGGUCAUAGUGAUCCGGUGAUUCCGUAUGGAAGGGUCAUCGCUCAUCAGAUAAAAGGUACUCUGGGGAUAACAGGCUGAUCGCUACCGAGCGUCCACAGCGGCGUAGCGGUUUGGCACCUCGAUGACGGCUCAUCACAUCCUGGGGGUGAAGAAGCUCCCAAGGGUUUGGCUGUUCGCCAAUGAAAGUGGUACGUGAGCUGGGUUCAGACCGUCGUGAGACAGGUCGGUCCCUAUCUGCCGUGGGCGUACGAAACUUGAGGAGCCUCUUCUUUAGUACGAGAGGAUUUAGAAGGACUCAGCUCUGGUGUACCAGUUGUCACGCUAGUGGCACGGCUGGAUAGCUAUCUGGGGAAAGGAUAAACGCUGAAAGCAUCUAAGCGUGAAGCCCGCUCCAAGAAUAGGUUUCGUAUGGUUAAUAACCGAAAGUCCCCUCGAAGACGACGAGGUUGAUAGGCCGGAUGCGUAAGUUCCGUAAGGGAUUGAGCUUACCGGUACUAACGGACGAACGCUUGGCCAC